rnacentral:lncRNA from 1 species
GCAUAGGGGAUGAUGAUGAUAUGACCUUGUAAGCAUGCUCAUUUACUGAAUGAAUUCAAUGCCCUCGUUGUUAGUUGUUUAAUGCUUGUGAUAGAACUUGAAGUAAGACAGCACCAUAUUUGGAAUUCACAACUUGACUCUCUUGUUUUAAUUGAAGCAUGCUUGAUGUGAUUCUUUUCCCUAUCUAUUAGAACCUGAACUUGACUUAUAAUUAUCAUGUCUUUGCAUUGUUGUUGAACUUGUGGCUACCAAUACACAUACUUGGAUUUUCUUUCACCUUCUA